AAGUGUGUGUGUGUGUUUGCUCUCGAGGGCCUCUUGACAAGUCUGCUCAAAUGACCCUGCUGAAGACUGGCUGUUCUGAUUGUCUGCUGUUCCACUCAGUAAUCUACGUUCUUGGAAGGGAAAUUGGAGUACUAGUCUUAAUGAGUAAGAGACAAAAUGUGACUGCUGCAGAGAUGGAAGAGUUACAGAAGCAGGCAGCAUGUCUAAACUUACGGCAGCCGUUGAGCCUGAACUUCGACAAAGGUAUUUGCCCAGAGCCUCUUUCUCCAGAACUGGAUCCCGAAGAGCAACUUAAAUCCAUGGCAGAGAUGUAUAAGCUUGUAAGACAGGAAGAAUUUAUCAAAAUGAUGACUGAGUUUAAUCAAAUGAGUGACUAACUGUACAGGAACUGUGAGAAUUCAGUCAAUAAAGAUUACUGAAUCAA